UACGGAGGGGGCUAGCGUUGUUCGGAAUUACUGGGCGUAAAGCGCACGUAGGCGGCUUUGUAAGUUAGAGGUGAAAGCCCGGGGCUCAACUCCGGAAUUGCCUUUAAGACUGCAUCGCUAGAAUUGUGGAGAGGUAAGUGGAAUUCCGAGUGUAGAGGUGAAAUUCGUAGAGAUCGGGAGGAACACCAGAGGCGAAAGCGGCGACCUGGACAGGCACUGACACUCAACUACGAAAGCGUGGGGAGCAAACAGG
rnacentral:rRNA from 1 species